GGGGAAUUUUCCGCAAUGGGCGAAAGCCUGACGGAGCAAUACCGCGUGAGGGAGGAAGGCUCUUGGGUCGUAAACCUCUUUUCUCAGGGAAGAACACAAUGACGGUACCUGAGGAAUAAGCAUCGGCUAACUCCGUGCCAGCAGCCGCGGUAAUACGGAGGAUGCAAGCGUUAUCCGGAAUGAUUGGGCGUAAAGCGUCCGCAGGUGGCAAUGUAAGUCUGCUGUUAAAGAGUGAGGCUCAACCUCAUAAGAGCAGUGGAAACUACAUAGCUAGAGUACGUUCGGGGCAGAGGGAAUUCCUGGUGUAGCGGUGAAAUGCGUAUAUAUUGGGAAGAACACCGGCGGCGAAAGCGCGCUACUGGGCCGGGACUGACACUGAGGGACGAAAGCUAGGGGAGCGAAAGGGAUUAGAUACCCCUGUAGUC
rnacentral:rRNA from 1 species